rnacentral:rRNA from 1 species
CGCACGAGAACACCUCAGCUUGCUGGGGUAAGUAAAGUGGCGCACGGGUGAGUAACGCGUGGGCAAUCUGCCCCUGAAUCUGGGAUAACGCUGCGAAAGCGGUGCUAAUACCGGAUGACAUCGAAUUGACUUCGGUUGAUUGGAUCAAAGGUAGCCACUCCAUGGAAGCUACUGUUUGGGGAUGAGCCCGCGUACCAUUAGCUUGUUGGUAGGGUAACGGCCUACCAAGGCGACGAUGGUUAGCUGGUCUGAGAGGAUGAUCAGCCACACUGGAACUGGAACACGGUCCAGACUCCUACGGGAGGCAGCAGUGAGGAAUUUUGCGCAAUGAGGGAAACCUUGACGCAGCAACGCCGCGUGAGUGAUGAAGGCUUUCGGGUCGUAAAGCUCUGUCAAGUGGGAAGAAAUCCCGGGAAGUGAACAGUUUUUCGGGUUGACGGUACCACUGAAGGAAGCACCGGCUAACUCCGUGCCAGCAGCCGCGGUAAUACGGAGGGUGCGAGCGUUAUUCGGAAUUACUGGGCGUAAAGGGCGCGCAGGCGGUCAUGUAAGUCAGAUGUGAAAGCCCGAGGCUUAACCCUGGAAGUGCAUUUGAAACUGUGUGACUUGAGUAUGGGAGAGGGAAGCGGAAUUCCUGGUGUAGCGGUGAAAUGCGUAGAUAUCAGGAGGAACACCCGUGGCGAAGGCGGCUUCCUGGACCAAUACUGACGCUGAGGCGCGAAGGCGUGGGGAGCAAACAGGAUUAGAUACCCUGGUAGUCCACGCAGUAAACGGUGAUCACUAAGUGUAGCGGGUAUUGACCCCUGCUGUGCCGAAGCUUACGCAUUUAUGGUAUCCUCCUGUUGAGUACUGCCGCAAGGUUAAUAUUCAAAAGUGUAUUGACGUGGGCCCGCACAAUCGUUUGGAGCAUGUGGUUUAAUUCGACGCAACGCGAAGAACCUUACCUGGAUUUGACAUCCCGGGAAUCUUUUAUGAAAAUGGAGAGUGCCUUUCGGGGAGCCCGGAGACAGUUGUCUGCAUGGCUGUCGUCAGCUCGUGUCGUGAGAUGUUGGGGUUAAGUCCCGCUACGAGCGCAACCCCUAUCUUCAGUUACCAGCAUUUCGGAUGGGGACUCUGUAGAUACUGCCCCGGUUAACGGGGAGGAAGGUGGGGAUGACGUCAAGUCCUCAUGGCCUUUAUGUCCAGGGCUACACACGUGCUACAA